UACAGAGGGUGCAAGCGUUAAUCGGAAUUACUGGGCGUAAAGCGUGCGUAGAAGGUUACAUAAGUCGGGUGUGAAAGCCCCGGGCUCAACCUGGGAAUUGCAUUCGAGACUGCGUAGCUAGGGUGCGGAAGAGGGAAGCGGAAUUUCCGGUGUAGCGGUGAAAUGCGUAGAUAUCGGAAGGAACACCAGUGGCGAAAGCGGCUUCCUGGUCCAGCACCGACGUUCAGGCACGAAAGCGUGGGGAGCAAACAGG
rnacentral:rRNA from 1 species